UGCCGCGGAGAUGCUGGGUGUAGUAAGAUGAGGCCUUGAAAUAUAAACUCUUGCAUCAGAGCCUUAGUCUGAGGCCUGAAGCCUGAACCAAAGUACUUCCAGG